UUUUAAAUGUAAAUAUCAAAUUUUAAAUUAUUAUUAGUUAUGUUCUUUAAAAUUAAAAAAUUUGGCGGUAUUUUAGUCUUUUCAGAGGAACCUGUUUCAUAAAUGAUAAUCCACGAUUAAUUAAACUUAUUUUUUAAAUUUACAUAUCGUCGUAGUUUGAAUAUUUUUUUAGAAUUUUAAUAUUCAAUAGAUUUAAUUUAAUUAGAAAUCAGAUCAAGGUGUAGUUUAUAUUUAAGUGAUAAUGGGUUACAAUAAAUUUAUUUUUGGAUUUAAAAUUGAAAAAUUUUAAUAAAAUUGGAUUUGAAAGUAAUUUGGAUAAUUUAAUUUAAAUGAUUUAAGCUCUAAAAUAUG
rnacentral:rRNA from 1 species